rnacentral:tRNA from 1 species
UGAGUUGUAGCUCAGUGGUAGAGUGCUUGCCUUGCAUGCAUGAGGCCCUGGGUUCAAUCCUCAGCACCACAU